rnacentral:piRNA from 1 species
UGCUUAGUGGCCUAGCUCUCCUCCGACUGC